GGCUACGCCAGCCUUUAACAGGAGAACCCUUAUUUUGACAAUUGUUUACUUUUGUACCCCAGCUGCGAGACUUAGAACGCGCAUAAUUCUUUGACAGUUUGUUAUCUCAAGCACUAGGCUACAUGAAACCCACCGGUUUAAUCUAUCGUUCCUUGUACGCAGCUAAAGGCAAUCCCUUUUCACAAUCUUCCAUAAACGACCAAACUUCA